GUGCGUCAGAGGUUGGGUCUUUGCGGGCAAGGUGAGUCCUCAUUCAUUCAACUGGCCUACAAAGUCCCAGUUUCUGGUUCAUGUGACAACCU
rnacentral:pre_miRNA from 10 species